rnacentral:rRNA from 1 species
AUACGUAGGUGGCAAGCGUUGUCCGGAAUUACUGGGCGUAAAGGGCGUGUAGGUGGACUGAUCAGUCGGGUGUGAAAUAUCCGGGCUUAACCCGGAGGGUGCAUCCGAUACGGUCAGUCUUGAGUGCAGGAGAGGGCAGUGGAAUUCCCAGUGUAGCGGUGAAAUGCGUAGAGAUUGGGAGGAACACCAGUGGCGAAGGCGGCUGCCUGGACUGUAACUGACACUGAGGCGCGAAAGCGUGGGGAGC